rnacentral:rRNA from 1 species
UAAGAAUUUAAAAGUCGAACAGACUUAUUAUUAAGAUUUCUACUCCUUAAAAUUUCCUUAAUUCAACAUCGAGGUCGCAAAAUACAAUAUAGAUAUGAACUCCCCAUUUAAAUUACGCUGUUAUCCCUAAGGUAACUUAAUCUUUUUACCCUUUUACUUAAGGAUCACAAAAUACAUAAACAAAUGAAUAUUAAAACUAAAGUUAGAUAUUUAGUCACCACCCCAGCAAAAUAUAAAAUUUCUAAGGUUAAAGAGUAAAUCAUUUAAAUAAAACUCAACUAACACACAUUUAUAUAAAGUUCUAUAGGGUCUUAUCGUCCCAAUAAAAUAAUAAAGCAUUUUAACUUUAAAUUUAAAUUCUAACAUUUAAAGAAAUAAAAUAUAAUUCUCAUACAUCCAUUCAUACAAGCUUUCAAUUAAAAAACUAAUUACUAUGCUACCUUUGCACAGUCAAAAUACUGCAGCCAUUUAGAAAAUUAUACCAUAGGGCAGAAGAUACUUUAUAUACAAACA